UCAGGCCUAACACAUGCAAGUCGAACGGCAGCACGGACUUCGGUCUGGUGGCGAGUGGCGAACGGGUGAGUAAUGUAUCGGAACGUGCCUAGUAGCGGGGGAUAACUACUCGAAAGAGUAGCUAAUACCGCAUACGCCCUACAGGGGAAAGGGGGGGAUCGCAAGACCUCUCACUAUUAGAGCGGCCGAUAUCGGAUUAGCUAGUUGGUGAGGUAAAGGCUCACCAAGGCGACGAUCCGUAGCUGGUUUGAGAGGACGACCAGCCACACUGGGACUGAGACACGGCCCAGACUCCUACGGGAGGCAGCAGUGGGGAAUUUUGGACAAUGGGGGCAACCCUGGUCCAGCCAUGCCGCGUGUGCGAUGAAGGCCUUCGGGUUGUAAAGCACAUGGGCAGGAAAGAAAUCGCACGGGUUAAUAACCCGUGUGGAUGAC
rnacentral:rRNA from 1 species